GCGCCUGGCAGCGCGCGAGCGCGGCUGACGCGGUCAGCCCGGCGUGCUGCCGUCGAGCACGCGUUCGAGCGCGUCAAGCGCGC
rnacentral:tRNA from 1 species